AGAGACUUAGUCCCAACCUUACAGUUAGUUCUUGCUAGACAUAUACAUGCAAGUAUCCGCACCCCAGUGUAAAUGCCCCUCCCCGUCCACACAAAUUGACAAGCAGGGAGCUGGUAUCAGGCACACCACAGUAGCCCAAGACACCUUGCAUCCGCCACACCCCCAAGGGUACUCAGCAGUAAUUAACAUUAAGCAAUAAGCGAAAGCUUGACUUAGUUAUAGCAACACCUACCAGGGUCGGUAAAUCUCGUGCCAGCCACCGCGGUCACACAAGAGACCCAAACUAACUGUACACGGCGUAAAGAGUGGAACCGCCUCAUCUCUUAACCAACUAAGGUUAAAAUAUACCCAAGCCGUCAUAAGCCUACGAUAUACUAAAACCCACCAUCAAAACGACCUUAGAAACCCCUAGAUGAACAAACCCCACGAAAGCCAGGACUCAAACUGGGAUUAGAUACCCCACUAUGCCUGGCCCUAAAUCCUGAUGUUCAAUUAUUACAAGAACAUCCGCCAGGGAACUACGAGCGCAAACGCUUAAAACCCUAAGGACUUGGCGGUGCCCCAAACCCACCUAGAGGAGCCUGUCCUAUAACCGAUAACCCACGAUACACCCGACCAUCUCUCGCCAAACAGCCUACAUACCGCCGUCGUCAGCCCACCUCUUGAGAGCAUAACAGUGAGCUUAACAGCCCCCACCCGCUAAAAAGACAGGUCAAGGUAUAGCCCAUGAGAUGGAAGAGAUGGGCUACAUUUUCUAACAAUAGAAAAUCCACGAAAGGGGGCAUGAAAACACCCCCUGAAGGCGGAUUUAGAAGUAAAAAAGGAACCAUAAAGCCUUCUUUAACCCGGCCCUGGGACACGUACAUACCGCCCGUCACCCUCCUCAUAAGCCACAACCCCCACAAACUUAUACCCCUCCACCCAAGCUAGAGAUGAGGUAAGUCGUAACAAGGUAAGUGUACCGGAAGGUGCGCUUAGCACAC
rnacentral:ncRNA from 2 species